GAUGAACGCUGGCGGCGUGCCUAAUACAUGCAAGUCGAGCGAACAGACGAGGAGCUUGCUCCUCUGACGUUAGCGGCGGGCGGGUGAGUAACACGUGGAUAACCUACCUAUAAGACUGGGAUAACUUCGGGAAACCGGAGCUAAUACCGGAUAAUAUAUUGAACCGCAUGGUUCAAUAGUGAAAGACGGUUUUGCUGUCACUUAUAGAUGGAUCCGCGCCGCAUUAGCUAGUUGGUAAGGUAACGGCUUACCAAGGCGACGAUGCGUAGCCGACCUGAGAGGGGGGACCGGCCCCCCGGAACUUGAGCCCGGUCCCGGCCCCCACGGGGGGGCGCAGUGGGGAAUUCUUCCCAAUGGGGGGAAACCCUAAGGAGCCAACCCGGGGGUGUUGAGGAAGUCUUUCGGUUCUUAAAUCCUUUUUAUGAGGGAAAAACAAAUGUGUAUGUAACCUUGCCUCUUUGACGUGAACCGAACAAGAAGCCCCCGCCUACCUCCUG
rnacentral:rRNA from 1 species